UGCUCCCUCCCACACCGGCACCUCAGCAGACAGGACAGGCUUCUGGCUGGCUGCUUGGAGAACUCUUCAGGCCCUUUCUUCCACCUCCAUUCUGUCAGUCUGGCUCAGGGGAACCGGGAGUCAAAGCAGGGCGCAGGGGACCUGCUCCAAGGGCAUCUGCAGCAAGGGGCAGCAGAAGCACUUGGCAUAUGUUCAAGGCUUUACGUACAAUGUUGAUUUCUAGAACAUAGAGACCUGCCUUUAAUAUUGUUUUUUUGUUGUUGUUGAAGAAUGAUCACUUCGUACAAAUCAUAAAACAAAUUGCUGAUAAAAUGUUC